GACGAACGCUGGCGGCGUGCUUAACACAUGCAAGUCGAACGGAAAGGCCCUGCUUUUGUGGGGUGCUCGAGUGGCGAACGGGUGAGUAACACGUGAGUAACCUGCCCUUGUCUUUGGGAUAACUUCAGGAAACUGGGGCUAAUACCGGAUAGGAGCUCCUGCUGCAUGGUGGGGGUUGGAAAGUUUCGGCGGUUGGGGAUGGACUCGCGGCUUAUCAGCUUGUUGGUGGGGUAGUGGCUUACCAAGGCUUUGACAGGUAGCCGGCCUGAGAGGGUGACCGGCCACAUUGGGACUGAGAUACGGCCCAGACUCCUACGGGAGGCAGCAGUGGGGAAUAUUGCACAAUGGGCGGAAGCCUGAUGCAGCAACGCCGCGUGCGGGAUGACGGCCUUCGGGUUGUAAACCGCUUUCGCCUGUGACGAAGCGUGAGUGACGGUAAUGGGUAAAGAAGCACCGGCUAACUACGUG
rnacentral:rRNA from 1 species